GGAAGAUGUGGCUCGCGGGUAGAGUAUCUGCUCGACAUGCAGAAGGCUGCAGGUUCAAUUCCUGGCAUCUCUG
rnacentral:tRNA from 1 species